rnacentral:tRNA from 1 species
GGGCCUGUGGCUCAGUCCGGUAGAGCACCGCCCUUGCAAGGCGGGGGCCUCGGGUUCAAAUCCCGACGGGUCCA